rnacentral:rRNA from 1 species
CCUACGGGAGGCAGUAGUGAGGAAUAUUGGUCAAUGGCCGGAAGGCUGAACCAGCCAUGCCGCGUGAAGGUCAGUGCCCUAUGGGCGUUAAACUUCUUUUGUGCGGGAGCAAUAAUGGUCACGUGUGGCCAGACGAGAGUACCGUACGAAUAAGCAUCGGCUAACUCCGUGCCAGCAGCCGCGGUAAUACGGGGGAUGCAAGCGUUAUCCGGAUUUAUUGGGUUUAAAGGGUGCGUAGGCUGUGAGGUAAGUCAGCGGUGAAAUGCCCCCGCUCAACGGGGUGAAGUGCCAUUGAUACUGCCUGGCUGGAAUGCGGAUGCCGUGGGAGGAAUGUGUGGUGUAGCGGUGAAAUGCAUAGAUAUCACACAGAACACCGAUUGCGAAGGCAUCUCACGAAUCCGCGAUUGACGCUGAUGCACGAAAGCGUGGGUAUCAAACAGGAUUAGAUACCCCAGUAGUC